CAGAGGUCGAUUGUCGCAUCUGUUUGAGCUUGAGGGGGGUAACAUACCAUCUGAGCAGGGUCUUAUACGCCUGCUCCUUGUGGUUCACACAGAUCGUAACUGAUGCCGUUGCCUCCCAAAUUUCUGCCCAGUCUGAUGGAUCGGCCGGUGGGCCCAUGUCCCUCUCCCACUCCCUCACGUAAGAAAAGGCCUCCGGAGGGGUGUUUCUAGCAAAGAUAUCGUAAAGAAUGGAUAUCUGACCUCUCCUUACCGGUGUGUGCAUACUCAUUUUCUCGAAAGGUGUAAGCUGUUUUGUGGCUGCCAUUCUGAUGUCCGGAAUGGACAAAAAACUCCGUAACUGGAGAUAGCGGAAAUAAUCAAAAGAGUUGAGAGGGGUAGAUUGCGGUAGGUCUGCAAAUAGGAGCAGGCGAUCACCCUGGAAGAAAUGGCAAAGUCUGAUGAGGUUAUUAUCUUCGAAGCGGGCAAAAUGUUGAGGUGUCAUACCUGGGGGAAAUUGCGGGUUCCGCAGAACUGGGGUGAGCGGUGAGGGCGUAUUGAUAAGGGGGUUUUUACCGUUGACUCUAUCCCACACCUGCAAAGACGUCCGCAGGGCCGGCGUGGUGUGGGGUAACUCCGAACGGUGAGGUUUCGGCACCCAAAAAUAUAACGAUGGGUGGUCUCUCCCAAAGAGGUCAUGUUCCAGAUCGACCCAGAUCUUGAUCCCCACCGGUGCGUGAAGCAUCAGGACUUGCGCCAACUGGGCAGCCUGGUGGUAAUCCCACAGAUUCGGUAAGCCUAGGCCCCCCCUCCUGUGUGGGAUAUAAAGAGUGGUUCUUUUGAUCCGGAUCCUCUUCCCCCCCCAAAUAAACCUAUCUAUCUGUGUUUGCAAAGCUUUAAAAUCGGGUCUCGAGAUCGGAAUCGGCAGUGUUUGGAACAAAUAUAGAAAACGAGGGAGAAGGGUCAUUUUAACCGAGGCUAUUCUACCCAGCCAGGAAAUGGACAGUUUUUGCCAGUCCGUCAGGUCUUUCUUAGUCUGGUCUAUUAGCGGGUGGUAAUUCAGUCGAUAAGUCAAGUUCAGGUCCGCGGGAAGAAACACCCCCAGAUACUUGAUGCAAUCCGGCCGGAAGUGGAACGGAUACCGGGCCCGCAAGGUUCCCUCCAGAGCUUGCGGGAGCUGGAUCCCCAGCGCCUCUGUCUUUUCUAGAUUCAGUUUAUAUCCCGAAAUCUCAGCGUACUCUGCCAUGAGGUCCAGCAGAGGGGGCAGGGAUGCCUCCGGGUCCGUCAGGGUCAAUAACAGAUCAUCGGCAUAAGCCGCGACCUUGUACUCUUCUUUGCGUAUCCGAAUACCCUUUAUGGCCGGGUUAAGCCUAAUCUGUUGGAGAAGAGGCUCAAGGGAGAGGGCGAACAGUAGAGGGGACAGAGGGCAUCCCUGCCGCGUACCGUUGUGUAUGGCAAAGGAGGGUGGCGAGGUGUUCGGUAGCAAUACUCGCGCGGUCGGGUGGGAGUACAAAUUACGAAUCGUCGUCAAGAACCGGUCAGGAAAUCCAAAUUUUGCUAGCGUUGCAAAUAGGUAGGGCCAUAAAAUGCGGUCAAACGCCUUUUCGGCGUCCAGGGAAAGCAGUAACGUGGGGGACCCUUUACGUGUGGCUGCCCAGAUCAGGUCAUAUGUACGUCUGGUAUUGUCACUGGCCUGUCUAUGUUGGAUGAAACCCACCUGGUCUGGGUGGAUCAACCUCGGAAGGUGGGGUUGUAGCCGAUUUGCGAGAAGCUUAGUGAAUAGUUUGAUAUCCACAUUGAGAAGCGAAAUGGGCCGAAAAUGUCCGGGCUCUGGUGGGCCUGAUUCGGUUUUGGUAUCAGACUUAUAUUUGCCUGCAACAAGUCUGGGGGCAGGGCUUCCCCCCUCCCAAUUGAGGUGAACAGAUCCUUAAGGUGCGGGAGGAGGUCUGCCGAGAACGUUUUAUAGUAUAAGCCCGAAAACCCAUCCGGGCCCGGGCAUUUAUUGGGGCGUAGGGAC